rnacentral:rRNA from 1 species
UCCUACGGGAGGCAGCAGUAGGGAAUCUUCCGCAAUGACGAAAGUCUGACGGAGCAACGACGCGUGAGUGAUGAAGGUUUUCGGAUCGUAAUACUCUGUUGUCAAGGAAGAACAAGUACCGGAGUAGCUGCCGGUACCUUGACGGUACCUUACCAGAAAGCCACGGCUUACUACGUGCCAGCAGCCGCGUAAUACGUAGGUGGCAAGCGUUGUCCGGAAUUAUUGGGCGUAAAGCGCGCGCAGGCGGUUCCUUAAGUCUGAUGUGAAAGCCCCCGGCUCAACCGGGGAGGGUCAUUGGAAACUGGGGAACUUGAGUGCAGAAGAGAAGAGUGGAAUUCCACGUGUAGCGGGUGAAAUGCGUAGAGAUGUGAGACACAGUGGCGAAGGCGACUCUUUGGUCUGUAACUGACGCUGAGCGCGAAAGCGUGGAGAGCAAACAGGAUUAGAUACCGUGGUAGUCCACGCCGUAAACGAUGAGUGCUAAGUGUUAGAGGGUUUCCGCCCUUUAGUGCUGCAGCAAACGCAUUAAGCACUCCGCCUGGGGAGUACGGCCGCAAGGCUGAAACUCAAAGGAAUUGACGGGGGCCCGCACAAGCG